rnacentral:rRNA from 1 species
AUUGAACGCUGGCGGCAUGCCUUACACAUGCAAGUCGAACGGCAGCACGGGUGCUUGCACCUGGUGGCGAGUGGCGAACGGGUGAGUAAUACAUCGGAACAUGUCCUGUAGUGGGGGAUAGCCCGGCGAAAGCCGGAUUAAUACCGCAUACGAUCCACGGAUGAAAGCGGGGGACCUUCGGGCCUCGCGCUAUAGGGUUGGCCGAUGGCUGAUUAGCUAGUUGGUGGGGUAAAGGCCUACCAAGGCGACGAUCAGUAGCUGGUCUGAGAGGACGACCAGCCACACUGGGACUGAGACACGGCCCAGACUCCUACGGGAGGCAGCAGUGGGGAAUUUUGGACAAUGGGCGAAAGCCUGAUCCAGCAAUGCCGCGUGUGUGAAGAAGGCCUUCGGGUUGUAGAGCACUUUUGUCCGGAAAGAAAUCCUUGGCUCUAAUACAGUCGGGGGAUGACGGUACCGGAAGAAUAAGCACCGGCUAACUACGUG